rnacentral:rRNA from 1 species
UACGGAGGAUGCAAGCGUUAUCCGGAAUUAUUGGGCGUAAAGCGUCCGUAGGUGGCACAUCAAGUCUGCUGUCAAAGGUCAGAGCUUAACUUUGAACAGGCAGUGGAAACUGAGGAGCUAGAGUAAGGUAGGGGCAGAGGGAAUUCCCGGUGUAGCGGUGAAAUGCGUAGAGAUCGGGAAGAACACCAGUGGCGAAAGCGCUCUGCUAGGCCAAAACUGACACUGAGGGACGAAAGCUAGGGGAGCGAAUGGG